AAAGAUUUAGUUUAUUCUAUCUAUUGUAAUAUUAAAACAUUGAAUUGUCGAUUCAAAGAAGUUUCUUUAAUCCUACUAAUAUUUC
rnacentral:tRNA from 1 species